GAAGGCUCAAAAUUUUGUACUGUAACCCAUCUAAUCUGGUCCCAAAGAAAAGAGAAACUGAGCCGUGAGAAACAGACACAUUUUUAUCAGCCUUAAAGCAACAUCUCUUCUGAACAGGAUUGCAGAAAUGGCAAAGGUAAUGUAAAAGUUAGAGUUUUGAUAUCACCAAAACUCACGAGGACCCCAAAUGACAUUUUCUAGAAAGCAAUGACUUCCCAAGAAUCUUAACGAAACUCCGCAGAACCACGAUUUGGGUAGAAAGUUUGCCUGUCAUUUCUACAAGCAACUAAAUAUGACAGGAUCACACUCGACAUUAAGAGCGUUAAAUUAUAAAAAUCUUGGAAAAAUAAAAUCAAAACCUCUGACUUCUUUUGUCUAUAAGGACCUGCCUCACUAAAGCAGCACAUCUGUCAUAAUAAUCUGAAAAUAUGCUCAACUGCAAUUGAAAAGAAUUGUCCAAAUAUUGUAAUUAGGCUUCAGAAAGCCCCAUGUAUCGAGUACUUUCUGGGAAGCUUAGUUCGUUUAGUGUUAUACUGCAAUGACGAAUGAAGUCCAAAGCUCCCGAAUCAUAAUCAUUGAGGGAAUGAAUCUGUUGCUGAGUGAAAUUCGCGUUAAAUACUGGAUAUUCAGAGUAUCUGUCACAGCCUUGAUGGUGGAUUUAUUUGGAUUUAAGAAAGUUUUAGUGACAUUCAAUGAGCAGGGCAAGCAUCUGUGAAAUUAUCCUCCUUAUAUCUGCAAUUGCUUUUCAAGGACCUCUCUAUAAUCGUCUCCGUCUCCGGGCGCUUUAUCAAGAAGGUAUAUGAGUUUAUUAAGCUAAGUGACAAUUAUCUAAGGUUCUUGUAUAAACCAGUUCAAAAAAAGUUGCAGCUUAGAAGAAUAUAUUGUUCCUUGAACAGAACUAAACCAAGCUGCAACAAUAAUAACAGCUUGCAAUUCUAUUUAUUCACCUCAUAGAGUUACACAGUGGUCAUUAUUACGAAACAUUUCAAUUCAUCUAACAAAUCUGAGAAAUUGUAAUGAAGCUAAACAAUCUUUUAAAGGGCAAAAAAAGACCAAAUCUUAAAGGAAACCUUCUAGAGCGGAAAAACAUCUACUAUACACUAUAAGAUAUUAUUAAUUUUAUCUUGAAUCAUCUUAGUAACAGGCUUCGACGCCCUACAAGAAAGUCACAAACCAUGUUUCCCUGGCCCUUUAACGUGGCAGUCGAAAAGGAUUUGUCCCUUGAGGCUUUAAUGUAAGGUUCAAAAUAUUAAUCCUGUUAGGUGAUCUACUUCCUUAAGGAUUUAAGUUCAAAUCUUAACAUUUAUGCUGUCACUCUUAAGCAGAAGCAAAUCUGCACAACAUUUAAGACAUCUGCAAAAGUAUUACUAGGCAUUUGUAGAGAUUAAUGGCAUUAUUUUCCACGAUCUUGCAAUAUUACAUAAGAGCAAGUCCAAUAGGUUACCUAAACUUGCUCCUAAACUCACAUUUAGGUAAUGAACUAAAAAAAUGCACUCCAACACUCUCCUAGUGGUUACUUAAAUCACCAGCACAACCUCAAAUCUCCUAGCCAUUACCUAUUUAUAAGUAAUCACUAGCCAUUACCUAUUUAAUAUUUAUGAAUAAAAUAAUCAAUCUCUCUCCUUCUUUCUUUGUCUUUUUCCUCUCUUCUCCUUUCUCUCUCUCAAAUUUAUUACUAAAAUAAUCUUAGGAGAACAAAUAUAAGGAUUGCUAUUGGAGUUGACACUAAAAAUAGAUUACAUAAAUCACUAAGACUCGCUAGGAUUCAUUAUUUUAUAUUAUUAAUAGGUAAUGAGAUAAGUAACCUAUUGGACUUGCUCUAACUAGUAAAAAAGAACUUUAGCUACAACCAGAGAAGUGCCAUUUUCAAUUUUUUAUUGUCUAAUAGUAACUCUGUUUUUUAUGGAGGAAACAUCACAUACAAUGUUAAAGCUAGUUUCUGUAAAGUAAUCUAAGGAUCGCAAGAUCAUAACACAACUGAAUCCGCAAGGCUGAAAGUUCCAGGUUUACAUCAAUAUUAUUGCAGAAGACCAACUGCCCUAUAAGCUGUUAUUCAUAAUAUGGAUCCAAAGAUGGGUUAGUUUGAAGCCUUCCAUAAUUCAUAAUAUCAUCACUCACCCGAAAACACCAAAAAUUUACUCAACUCGUGUGAACUUCUAGGCAUGGCUAGUAAAAAGAGCUCAAAUCACAAUUUUUAUGUCAUAUGUCUGUUUAUAUAACAUACAUAAAGAUGAAGAACUUAGAAGCCUUUGGGGAGUGGUAGCAGAACGCCAGAACAUGAACUUAAAAUGUUACAAGUGUUUGGUAAAAAAAAAAAAACUCAAAAUCUCUAACGGUAAAUAUUACUCCUUCCCACUCAUUUUGUCUAACUUAGAAAUACACCGUAUAUUCACUAACAUUAAAUUAGCCGAUAAUUAUUAAAAAAAUUAUAUUGCUUUUCAUAUAUAUUAACUUAGUUUAUAUUGAAUUUGCCAUAUUUACUAAACAUGAUAAUUUUGGAUCACGUACAGUAGAAAAUGAGGGAUUCAAACAAACAAUAAAAAAAAAAAAUCAGUUAGAGCAUCUCCAACCCUCACAAGCCCUUAGGUAAAAGUCCACGUGGCUUUUCAAAAUUAAAUUUUAUAGCCAAUGUUCACAAAAACUGGAACUCCAGCCCCAGCAACCCCUUGUGUAUAAUUAUAGUCAUCCCACUAUGGAUGGCUAUAUUUGUCGAUCCGCUACCAAUCGGUAGCGAAUUCCACGUCAUCUCCAGCAAUUUAUUUUUCUACUUUCCACUGAUUACAUAUUAUUUAUUACCAUAUUAAACUGAAAUAUUCUAUUUAUUAUAAUCUAAAUAUUAAUAACAUGC